UAAUGCCUGGGAAUUUGCCCAUUUGUGGGGGAUAACAGUUGGAAACGACUGCUAAUACCGCAUACGCCCUACGGGGGAAAGCAGGGGACCUUCGGGCCUUGCGCUGAUGGAUAAGCCCAGGUGGGAUUAGCUAGUAGGUGAGGUAAAGGCUCACCUAGGCGACGAUCCCUAGCUGGUCUGAGAGGAUGAUCAGCCACACUGGGACUGAGACACGGCCCAGACUCCUACGGGAGGCAGCAGUGGGGAAUAUUGCACAAUGGGGGAAACCCUGAUGCAGCCAUGCCGCGUGUGUGAAGAAGGCCUUCGGGUUGUAAAGCACUUUCAGCGAGGAGGAAAGGGUGUAAGUUAAUACCUUACAUCUGUGACGUUACUCGCAGAAGAAGCACCGGCUAACUCCGUGCCAGCAGCCGCGGUAAUACGGAGGGUGCGAGCGUUAAUCGGAAUUACUGGGCGUAAAGCGUGCGCAGGCGGUUUGUUAAGCGAGAUGUGAAAGCCCCGGGCUCAACCUGGGAACCGCAUUUCGAACUGGCAAACUAGAGUCUUGUAGAGGGGGGUAGAAU
rnacentral:rRNA from 1 species